AUGGAUGUGAUGGCUAUUUCCCCAGACGAUCGAAGCUGAAAUAACUGAGCGCUCUUUAUGUAUUUUCUACCCGAAAUUUUCUUCCUUCGGGUAGAAAAUCCAAGCCAGAUAGUCUGAUCCAU